rnacentral:tRNA from 1 species
ACAAAAUGUAGCUUAACAUAAAGCACUUCGCUUACAUCGAAGACAUAUCUGUUUAAUCCAGAUCGUUUUGA